GAUGAAGAACGCAGUAAAAUGCGAUAAGUAGUGUGAAUUGCAGAAUUCAGUGAAUCAUCGAAUCUUUGAACGCACAUUGCGCCCCUUGGUAUUCCAUGGGGCAUGCCUGUUCGAGCGUCAUUUCAACCAUCAAGCCCCCGGCUUGUGUUGGGGACCUGCGGCUGCCGCAGGCCCUGAAAACCAGUGGCGGGCUAGCUAGUCACUCCGAGCGUAGUAAUACAUCUCGCUCAGGGCGUGCUGCGGGUUCCGGCCGUUAAAAAGCCUUAUUUACCCAAGGUUGACCUCGGAUCAGGUAGGAAGACCCGCUGAACUUAAGCAUAUCAAUAAGCGGAGGA
rnacentral:misc_RNA from 1 species